rnacentral:rRNA from 1 species
GUAGUCUCGCACAGAUGCAUAUCAAUAAGCGGAGGAAAAGAAACUAACAAGGAUUCCCCUAGUAACGGCGAGCGAAGCGGGAAGAGCUCAAAUUUGAAAUCUUAAAGGGUUUCCCUUUACGAAUUGUAGUUUAAAGAAGUGUUUUCUGUUGAGGUUUUGGUAAAAGUUCUUUGGAAUAGGACAUCAUAGAGGGUGAGAAUCCCGUAUUUGACCUUUACUUUCAACUUUGUGAUACACUUUCAAAGAGUCGGAUUGUUUGGGAAUGCAGUCCAAAAUGGGUGGUAAAUUUCAUCUAAAGCUAAAUAUUGGCGAGAGACCGAUAGCGAACAAGUACCGUGAGGGAAAGAUGAAAAGAACUUUGAAAAGAGAGUUAAACAGUACGUGAAAUUGUCAAAAGGGAAGCGUUUGACACCAGUGUUGUUUUUCUGAAAAUCAAUUAAAGAACUGUUUAUGCUAAGCUGUUUAGACUUUAUCAGCUAACUGUUUAGUUUUGAGCUUUUCUUUAAUGCACUUUUCAGUUAACAAGUCAACAUCAAUUUCUUUUGCUGUAAAAAAGCUUGAGGAAGGUGGCUUGAGAUUCGUCUUAAGUGUUUAUAGCCUCUUGCCUAUGCAGUCGGAGAGAUUGAGGUCUGCAGCGUAGAUCCUUCGGGGCUAAAUGCAUUUGUGCUAAGUUAUAGCAUUUUAUAGACAACUUGUUGACUAUGAUUUGUCUUGUAGCUUACUCGCUUAUGUUAUUUUACCUACGCUUAGGAUGUUGACGCAUGAGAUAUACGC